GAGCCACCUGCACCCACUUGAACCAACAGAAUUUAGCGCAAACCGAUGUUUUCGCAGCAGCCGGGUCUACACGCGAAUCUCCUGUGUGGUGGGAGCAGUCCCCUAGGAAGACGCCUUUCUGAAAAUCCGCGUCUUUCCCGAAAGGAUACCAGUUUAAAACCCAUUUAUUCGGAAGGGGCAUUGAAAAGCCUUCAAAUUCUUCUUAAGCAACCGUACUUUGGACUGAACUUUUAACUGAGUACCUUUCCCGCUGGAUUUUACUGCAGACGUGAGGGUGAGGGUUACGAGCCUUGGUGAUGUGAACAGAACGCCCAGGAACGCAUGGAACAUUCUUCUUCUGGCAGAUGUGGGUCCCUCCCCCGAUGCCUUAUGUUCGGGGGACUCACACAUUCAGGUUAUCUGCUCGGCUCUGUGGACCUUCUGCUUAACCCUCUCCUAUCGAAGUUCAUUUACUAUUCUGAAGAGACAGAUGGGCCGAGAGGCAGGAUUUUCUAAAACGAUUUGAGCAAAGUCGCGUAUAGCGCUGGAGGCAGAAACCAGGCAGCCGAGCUGGUCUCGGUUCCUUCUCGGCUUCCGAAGCUCAGGAUUAUCUCCAGUCUCACCAGUGGGAAUUGGGAGGCAGGGCCAUGUUCCUGUCCAGAGCUCAGGUUUGGGGCCAGAUUCCCUGAACCUAAUCACGGACUCCACCCUUGACUCCGUAGCUGGCCCCGCAUGAUGUGAAGAAGCCGUGGUUUCUUCCUCUAUCAAACAGGACUUCUUCAAGCAUCGCACUGGGCAAAAAUGCGCUUCAAUAAGGUGAUGAAUAUUACAGCUCAGUGCCUGCCGUAGAGUAGUGAGAGGCCGCAUGGAAAGUGGACCAUGACCACACUGCAUAUUCAAACAGAACUCUGAGCCACACCUGCCCUGAUCGGCUCAGGAAACCGACCACUAUCUAUGUCACGGGCCCAGGAAGCCGGCCUGCUCUCUGUAAGUCAGGAAGUCAGACUGUGGUGUCUGGGGAGCAAUCCAGGAAGCCAGACAGUAACUCCUGUAAAACCCGGCUCGGAAAGGGCAGCCUCCCCACUUUCUGCCCUGCGUCUAAUUUAGGACCAGCCAAAGUGAGCCAAAUACGCUCCCUGGCCAGUCCCCGGGAGCCUGCACCCAGCGUCCCCGCACCGACAGCCUGCCAUCGAGGCGGCCCUGAGCUGCGUCUUUCCCCCCAUAAGCCUUUCCCAGCCCUGUGCCUGCCGGUGAGCCCCCGCCUCACUCCAGGAACGCUGGCUGACUCCCUGUGGCUAACGGCAAUCCCUGAGUAGCCUCUGCUUUCCUCAUUUGGCUGGUCUUCCUGUCUUUCCACAGUAUCAUUCAGCGAGUAGUAUGAGUCACAAACACAAUAAAAUAAUUAUUGAGUUAAAUAUGAAAUCAAUGAAUCAUCAAGUAAUGCAUCUCCAGAAGACUCAGACGUAAUUUCUCUUAAUUUCAAUGGAAGCAUUAUUGAUCGUCUCUCCUUACAUUCAUUUUAUUUUGCCGAAUCUUGAUUUUCUUAGUAAAUUAUUCAUGGGUGGUA